rnacentral:tRNA from 1 species
UUGGGCAGUCGCCAAGCGGUAAGGCAAUGGACUCUGACUCCAUCAUCCGGGGGUUCAAAUCCCUCCUGCCUAGU